GGAACAGAGGAUGGGGAGCAGGAGAGGUUGGGAGGAACAGAGGAUGGGGAGCAGGAGAGGUUGUGAGGAACAGAGGAUGGGGGCAGGAGAGGUUGGGAGGAACAGAGGAUGGGGAGCAGGAGAGGGGAGGAACAGAGGAUGGGGAACAGGAGAGGAUGGGGAGCAGGAGAGGUUGGGAGGAACAGAGGAUGGGGAGCAGGAGAGGUUGGGAGGAACAGAGGAUGGGGAGCAGGAGAGGUUGGGAGGAACAGAGGAUGGGGAGCAGGAGAGGUUGGGAGGAACAGAGGAUGGGGAACAGGAGAGGUUGGGAGGAACAG
ensembl:lncRNA